UGCAGUGCUCAUGCCAGCGGCAAGGCAGGGCUCAGGGGCACUCACAGUCCUGGGGCUGCUUGUGAGCACUGGGCCUUCAACAGGAGACCUGGCUGCUCCCGCUCCAUGUCCACCAGCAUCUGCCCAUGUUAGGAGGCCUGUGCACCUGUGCCCACUUGAGCUCGCCCACUCCAACACCCCAUCCAGUGUCGAUGGAGCCUGAAAACAUGCCCUGCUGUGCUUGUGCUUAUGAAAUUCUGCAUUCAGCCCCUCUUUGUAUAAUUGGGAAACUGAGGCUCAGAAAGAGGCAGGCCCAGGGCACAGUAUGUGGUCAGAGUCAAGAAGAAAAGUGAGGACACCGGCUUCAUAGGCCCGGGCCCAACUCCUCCAGUCAUGUUUACUUUGGAAAUGAAAGCCCCUAAGAUCCUAGUUUGGACUAGGAUCCUACCCAACCCCUCCCAGUUUGGACCAUUUUCCUUCCUGCAUCCCCACAAGCACGCAGGCAUGCACAAACAGAAGCAGACUUCCAGCUGGGGACUAUGGGAGGGUGGUUAAGAAGAGCAGACACCCUGAAAAUGACAAGGGAAAGAGGAGAGAGGGGUUGGAGCCAGCUCUGCAAUAGAGUAGGGGCAUCCAUUCUCCCGGCAACAUGUCCAGAGGUCCAUAGCAUGAAGGCGAUCCUUAAAUUUCCCACAGUCCUGCCUGGGCAGGGGCCAACUCCAUAGUAGUCUCCAGAGGACAGGGACUGGGGUCCUGCAGUCUACUGUGCUAGGCUCCUGGAAGUGGACCGAGCAUACUUCAUCCCCUAGUAUAGACAGGGACUACAGGAGAGAAGGUCUCAGUUUCCUUCUCUACAAAUUGGGCUCUUGCAAUGGCAGUACCCAAGGGUUCUGCAUGCUUGGAAAGUCUGUAGACCUUGAUUCUCUACCAAUGACCCAUUGUCCUCCAAGGACAUGGAUAAAUGCUUCCCACUCCCUGAAGGUCCUUCGUGGCAGAGAGGAGCUUGGGGAAUGAGGACUUGGGGUAGGGAAGAACAAGACAGAGCCAGGGACUGAAAGUUAAGGGUCCAGGAACAAGACCACUCAUACUUGGAUCCUUGGGGUCCUCAUUUGGAAGUAGGGGGAAUCAUUGCCCUGGCUGAGGUGAGGAUGCCUUCUGAGAAAACUAGACACCCCAGAGGGGAGUGGCAAAGAGGGCGGCAGGAGUGUCUUCUGAGGUCCCUUCCACAGCCCUGAAAUCCUUCAGGGCCUGCUGUUUUACUCCUGGGACUCCGGAGAGCCUUUGCCUUGAGGUCACCCAAAGAAAGAUUCCUGCCUGGGGCUGCAGUGCUAGUGCUGGCCACCAGGGGACAGGCAGCCUCCUGGUUCAUGGUGCCCACUGAGCUUUGCUGGAGCAAUUGGGGCAGGAAGAGCCAUGCAGAAUGUCAUUUCGGCCACGCCUCUGCUUCAGAAACAAUAUGCACCUCCUACGAUUAGUGAUCAUUUCUACAGAAUGAGCUGGGCAGAGGCAGGAAGAAGAGCUCCAAGAUCUCCCCAUUUAUUUAUUUAUUCGGAGAUUUAUUUAUUUAUUUAUUCCGAGAUUAUGGCUCACCCUGUGCCAGGUGCCAAAUGGUCUCUCUCUUCCAGGAGCUUUCAGUCUGGAGGAGAGAAGGACAAAAGCACAGAAGCAAGACAUGUGAAAGAAAAGAAGCUCCACCCAGGACAUUGUCAAGGAGCUGGUUGAUGGGUUCAACUCCUCCAUCUCACUAGACAAGGGGCAGAUGCAUCUGGCGAUGAACAAUGGCCAACACUGGUCUGGGGAGUCAACCCUCUCCCGGGAUGAGGCCUACUCAAUGCCGACCCCCAAGGCAGGCACAAUGGAGAAGGUGGUAGAGUCCCUGGUACCAGCUUUCCCGGAUAGAAACAUCUCCUACAUUGCCGCCUUCCCAUGCAUGUACCAGGUCUUCACCACCACCCAACAGGUACUGGACUAGCUGCCCCAUAGGCGAGUGCUGCCGCCUCCAGAGCACAGUGGUUAGUGUCCCAUCUACCAACCGUGUGUCUGGGGAAUGUCAACACACCUCUGUGAGCUUUACUUUGCUCUUCUGAAAAGUGGGUUGGUAAGAAGAUGAACCUCAUAAAGUUAUUUUAGGAAAUCAUGGAAUCAGCCAAGGCAGGUGCUUACCUGGUGCCUGGUUCUGCAAAAAGGGCUGGGGAAUGUGCUGUGGUUGUUCAUGGUGAUUAUUUUUCUUUCCCCCAUGAAAAGCAGACUUCCUCACGCAUCACUGGGAUUUAGCCUUUCUGAGUUUGGAAAACCAGAUGGACACCCUGUCCAGGAGUUUGAGGUUCUCUCCAGCUGAUCUUGACUGCUACAUGGCACACAUUUACAACUUGCAAUGCAACACUGAGACAGACACCGUUAAUAA